AUUGAACGCUGGCGGCAGGCCUAACACAUGCAAGUCGAGCGGUAGCACAGAGAGCUUGCUCUCGGGUGACGAGCGGCGGACGGGUGAGUAAUGUCUGGGAAACUGCCUGAUGGAGGGGGAUAACUACUGGAAACGGUAGCUAAUACCGCAUAACGUCGCAAGACCAAAGUGGGGGACCUUCGGGCCUCAUGCCAUCCGAUGUGCCCAGAUGGGAUUAGCUAGUAGGUGGGGUAACGGCUCACCUAGGCGACGAUCCCUAGCUGGUCUGAGAGGAUGACCAGCCUCACUGGAACUGAGACACGGUCCAGACUCCUACGGGAGGCAGCAGUGGGGAAUAUUGCACAAUGGGCGCAAGCCUGAUGCAGCCAUGCCGCGUGUGUGAAGAAGGCCUUCGGGUUGUAAAGCACUUUCAGCGGGGAGGAAGGCGGUGAGGUUAAUAACCUCACCGAUUGACGUUACCCGCAGAAGAAGCACCGGCUAACUCCGUGCCAGCAGCCGCGGUAA
rnacentral:rRNA from 1 species